rnacentral:rRNA from 1 species
CCUACGGGGGGCAGCAGUGGGGAAUUUUUCGCAAUGGGGGAAACCCUGACGAAGCAACGCCGCGUGGAGGAUGAAGGCCUUCGGGUCGUAAACUCCUGUCGACCGGGAAGAAUGCACCUGACCUAAUACGUCGGCGUGUUGACUGUACCGGUGGAGGAAGCCACGGCUAACUCUGUGCCAGCAGCCGCGGUAAUACAGAGGUGGCAAGCGUUGUUCGGAAUUACUGGGCGUAAAGGGCGCGUAGGCGGCCCGUCAAGUCCCGUGUGAAAGCCCCCGGCUCAACCGGGGAACGGCGCGGGAAACUAGCAGGCUUGAGUUCGGGAGAGGGAAGCGGAAUUCCGGGUGUAGCGGUGAAAUGCGCAGAUAUCCGGAGGAACACCGGUGGCGAAGGCGGCUUCCUGGACCGACACUGACGCUGAGGCGCGAAAGCUAGGGGAGCAAACGGGAUUAGAUACCCGAGUAGUC